rnacentral:lncRNA from 1 species
GUCCUCAUUACCUACAGAGCAAAGCUCCAGCCUCACCUCCCAGCUCACCCUCCUAGUGAUGACUCUCUAGCAAUGAGGAACUUGUAUUUUUGCUAGGCACAGUGCUAUUGGCUGUUUCUCCCCUCCUAGCCUUUUGUUCAAGCUAUGCCCUUUGCACAAAAUGCCCUCACCACCCACCCCAACCUCCAGCUCCUUGUCCCUUGUCUAGAUCCUAGUCAUUCUCUACAACACAGUUCAAACAUCGCUGCCUCAAGGAAACCCUGCCUCACCACAUCAUCAGCCCUCAGCUUCCGUCCCAGCCCCGGCCAAGUGAUCUUCCUCUCUGUUCCCAUGACUCUGGGAAAUCAGACAUUCUUUUUGAAAUGUUGAAAGACAGUGGUGACUGAGCCUGCCAGAUUAUCUGGGACAUAAGCUGGAACUGGAUCUAGUACCUGUGAACAAGUGUAUUCUGACUUGAUAUUGACAAAUAAGGAAAAGUUAUUACUGGAUGCAAGUUCUGGGAAGACUAUAGCAGUAUCUGUCUCUGCUCUUGGAGAUUGGAAUGCAGAACUCUGCAAGGAGGAACAUUCUAUCUCCCUGUCAUAAAGAGUCAUUAGCAACCACCUGGUGCAGGUCACAAGCAGGGAGAGGAAAGACUGCAGAGUCUUUCGUUCUUUCUGGUGCAGCUUAACUGAUUUGAAGAAGCCGAAGAAGAAAAUCCAGUAGCACGGUUAAGACUUUAGCCAUGGCAUCUGUAUCAUACCAAAAGCCAACAUCUACUACUGUGGGAAAACAAAUGAUUUUUACAGAUAAAGAAACUGAGCCUGAGAGAUGGUAUUUUGAAGAAGGUUAUGAGCCUAUUAUGAAAUAGGGUUCAGCUGGAGUAUGGCCCAUUCUCUUUUCUACACAUCAUGCUGUCUCCCAAUAAAGCAAAACAAAUGAAAAAGGAAAUGAUGUGCUGUAAACCAAUUGCGAACCACAAGAAACACUGAAUGAAAGGUCACAGGGCGAAUUACACAGAGAGUGGUAUAAACUUGGCAGGGAGAUAUAAAAUGUUUUAUCAUUUCCCUGUAUAGCAGAGAGGGGAGGAAAAAAUGAAAGGAAUAGCAAAAACAAUGCUUUCCUGAGGUGAUCAUAAAUGUGCUUUCAUAGAAAAUGACGUUUUAGAGGAACAGUGGAAAUUGAAGAAGCAGGAAGGACUGAAUAUAUGGAAGUGAUAGACAAGAAUGAUUAGGAGACCAGAGAGAGAGAAAAAAGUAAUUCAGGUAGCCAUCAUAGCACUGCCUUUCAAACUUUUCUGACUGCAGUCC